GGCUCAGAACGAACGCUGGCGGCAGGCCUAACACAUGCAAGUCGAACGAUCCUUCGGGAUAGUGGCGCACGGGUGCGUAACGCGUGGGAAUGUACCCCAGGGUACGGAAUAACGUCGGGAAACCGGCGCUAAUACCGCAUAAUGACUUCGGUCCAAAGAUUUAUCGCCCUGGGAUCAGCCCGCGUCUGAUUAGGUAGUUGGUGGGGUAAAAGCCUACCAAGCCGACGAUCAGUAGCUGGUCUGAGGGGAUGAUCAGCCACACUGGUACUGAGACACGGACCAGACUCCUACGGGAGGCAGCAGUGAGGAAUAUUGGACAAUGGGGGCAACCCUGAUCCAGCCAUGCCGCGUGAGUGAAGAAGGCCUUAGGGUUGUAAAGCUCUUUCAACGGUGAAGAUAAUGACGGUAGCCGUAGAAGAAGCCCCGGCUAAAUUCGUGCCAGCAGCCGCGGUAAUACGAAUGGGGCAAGCGUUGUUCGGAAUCACUGGGCUUAAAGCGUGCGCAGGCGGAUAUGCAAGUCAGGAGUGAAAUCCCCGGGCUCAACCCGGGAACUGCUCUUGAAACUGCAUGUCUAGAAUCCGGGAGAGGAUAGGAGAAUUCCUAGUGUAGAGGUGAAAUUCGCAGAUCUUAGGAGGAAUACCAGAGGCGUAAGCGCCUAUCUGGACCGGUAUUGACGCUCAGGCACGAAAGCGUGGGGAGCAAACAGGAUUAGAUACCCUGGUAGUCCAAGCCGUAAACGAUGUGUGCUAAUUGUCAGGCCCUUAAGGUUCAGUGACGCAAGGAAACCAUUAAGCACAC
rnacentral:rRNA from 1 species